GUCGAACGGUAACAGGAAGCAGCUUGCUGCUUUGCUGACGAGUGGCGGACGGGUGAGUAAUGUCUGGGAAACUGCCUGAUGGAGGGGGAUAACUACUGGAAACGGUAGCUAAUACCGCAUAACGUCGCAAGACCAAAGAGGGGGACCUUCGGGCCUCUUGCCAUCGGAUGUGCCCAGAUGGGAUUAGCUAGUAGGUGGGGUAAAGGCUCACCUAGGCGACGAUCCCUAGCUGGUCUGAGAGGAUGACCAGCCACACUGGAACUGAGACACGGUCCAGACUCCUACGGGAGGCAGCAGUGGGGAAUAUUGCACAAUGGGCGCAAGCCUGAUGCAGCCAUGCCGCGUGUAUGAAGAAGGCCUUCGGGUUGUAAAGUACUUUCAGCGGGGAGGAAGGGAGUAAAGUUAAUACCUUUGCUCAUUGACGUUACCCGCAGAAGAAGCACCGGCUAACUCCGUGCCAGCAGCCGCGGUAAUACGGAGGGUGCAAGCGUUAAUCGGAAUUACUGGGCGUAAAGCGCACGCAGGCGGUUUGUUAAGUCAGAUGUGAAAUCCCCGGGCUCAACCUGGGAACUGCAUCUGAUACUGGCAAGCUUGAGUCUCGUAGAGGGGGGUAGAAUUCCAGGUGUAGCGGCGAAAUGCGUAGAGAUCUGGAGGAAUACCGGUGGCGAA
rnacentral:rRNA from 1 species